GUGUGGCUGUCGUAAAAACCCUAUUUGUAAACAACCAGCCCUUUAACUCGGGGCUGCGUCAUAAGCACGGCGCGCUUGGAAGACCACGAUGUCAUCUUCCUUCUGUCAGGAGGAUCCAAGUGAAGCUACAGGAGUUUCAUUAACGUCAACAACUUGGACCAAACAGUUUGUUUUGCUUGAUGAAGAGCAGGAAGGGCAGCCUGGAGAGAAAGAGAAGCCGGGUUGAGCCCACUACCAUCAUCCACGUACCACGAGGAAGAUGAGGGAGAGAAAUGAUCCUACCAUUAAAGAGACUGUGAAAAGAACGUUGAGAACAUCACCACUCUACAGGAAGACACAGUCCAGUAAUGGGUGUCAGAAGUUCAGUAGUGAACGACAGAAACAAACAAUCCAAAUUACCUGCAGAAAGCCCUUGAUGGACGCUUCAGCUGCAUCGUCAGACUGGCAGUACUGAUGCAUUUACUGAGACGGGACGUGAGGGCCUACUCUGCGUGCUCAGAGUUCAAGCCCAGCAGGCUGCAGCGGGCCUGACAUAUUCUGGAACAGCAGCACAGUCUUUGGAUGACUCCUCUGAAGAUGAAAACAUGGCGAGUUCUUCUCAAGAGAAGCAGUACAGGUGUGCCUCAGCUCCACGGUCCCUCCUGCAGCCUCCGCUCCUGAUGCUAACCUCAUGUCUCCAUCACACCAAGCAGCAGACCUGGAUUGACAGACCUUUCUCCAGAGCUGCCCCCUCCCUCUGAAACCCCCCUCUCCAAAACACUAUUUGUGUAGUUUUUAAAGUAUUUUUUGCAUGAGAAUUGUUGAUCAUAACAUUUCCAGCAGAUGCCUUAAUAUAAUGUUUGUGCACAAUAAAUGACAUUGAUCAUA